UACGGAGGGGGCUAGCGUUGUUCGGAAUUACUGGGCGUAAAGCGCGCGUAGGCGGACCUGCAAGUCGGGGGUGAAAGCCCGAGGCUCAACCUCGGAACUGCCUUCGAUACUGCGGGUCUCGAGUCCGGGAGAGGUGAGUGGAAUUCCUAGUGUAGAGGUGAAAUUCGUAGAUAUUAGGAAGAACACCAGUGGCGAAGGCGGCAUCCUGGACCGGUAUUGACGCUGAGGCGCGAAAGCUAGGGGAGCAAACGGG
rnacentral:rRNA from 1 species